UACGUAGGGUGCAAGCGUUGUCCGGAAUUAUUGGGCGUAAAGAGCUCGUAGGCGGCUUGUCGCGUCGGCUGUGAAAACCUGGGGCUCAACCCCGGGCCUGCAGCCGAUACGGGCAAGCUAGAAUUCGGUAGGGGAGACUGGAAUUCCUGGUGUAGCGGUGAAAUGCGCAGAUAUCAGGAGGGACACCGGUGGCGAAGGCGGGUCUCUGGGCCGAUAUUGACGCUGAGGAGCGAAAGCGUGGGGAGCGAACAGG
rnacentral:rRNA from 1 species